UAAGAGCCGUGUGUGUCCCUCGAAGUAUCUUUGAAAGAUCAAGAAAGAUGAAAAAACCUUCCCGCCGGUGUUGAAGUUACAACUUGUGACGUAAUCUGUUGUCACCCGCCCUGAUUGGCUAACUACGAUUGUUGUGUUUCGUGAUUGGACUUCCUUGUGUUGAUUUUACGUUUGCUUCAGUGUUUUUUUUUUUUGUUUGUUUGUUAUUGUUUUCUGGGUGAACUCGUCUAAUUUUAAUUAUGGAAUUAUCAUUACUAUUUUAUAAGUCUCAAACGUAAAAUUUAAGGUUUAUAAAAUCAGGGCUUUGGAGUUGACGUCACGCCGCGUUGCAUUGUGGGAGCAUGCCAGCAUUUUUGCAGGCCACGAAUCAAAACGGACACUCGUUUGGAAGGAAGAUUGCUACGAACCGUACUUAAAAGCAGCUCAAAAGAAAAAGAACUUUAUAGAAUCAAAUUGUGUCGGAUACGAAGACACGGUACUUGCAAAAAAAUAGCGUGCAUUAGAAAUGUGGACCCGUAUGAAAUAACGGCAGUGGAGCAGAAACCCGAAGACCAACCGGUAUUGACGUAGCCUGAUAUAUUUUCGUACCUGUGGGGUCAGCGCAUAAACGGCGUACCGGUUUCGCAAUUAUAAAUCUCUGGAGGCGCACAUCCGACUAACCAAUGGUUGGGUACAGAUUUGGCUAUUUUUAGACUCCACGUUGUGAAUACGUCCUCAUUCAAACAAAGGGGUUGGAACCAGCUAUUAAAAUGGUCAUCACCAGACCAAGGCUCAAUCGAGUCAUGGAAGGAGGAAUCAGAAAUAAACUGCACAACGACUUGGCUGGUGACCCACUUCACAUCUCCUUGCUAAACACUGGAGAAUCAUGCAAAGACUUUGAUGUAACAGACUGACCUAUAACAGCAACCGUGGGCAUCAGUGAUGAGAAGACCUGUGUUGAGACAGCAUUGUGAGUACAGGCUGGACCCCACAGAGUGUGUGCAUGUCUGCAGUGAGGAUGAACUCUUCCACCUUGAAAGUACAGACGACAUGGCAAAUAAGAUUGAGACAGCAACAGGAGAACAGGCAGCUGACCAGGAAUGGCAUCAGCUCCACAGGCCAAGAUUACAUCUUCAUAUUUAAGAGGUUUGUUAUAUAAAGGGCGUGAAACUGUGCAGAGAGAAUCCUCAAAGGAACGUGACAGACUGCAGAUGUGAGCACAGGGACAGACAUGGAGUUUAACGCAGCUGGAGAAAACUGCAAAUUGAAAAACUAACGAUAGGCCUCAUGGCCUCGUUGUCCACCCUGACGCUCCCUGGCUUGGUUCCUCACCAGAUGGGUUGAUCUUUGAUCCAUCUGCACUGCCACCGUUUGGACUGCUUGAGAUAAGGUGUCUUUAUGUGAGGAAUUAUGUUCACUUCAGAUACCUUCAACUAAGAAUGGCACCCUGUCUCUCUGUAAAAGUCAGUUGUACCGAUUAUGUUGACACAAAGUUAACAGCAACAUCAGAGAGAGCGUGGACUGGUGUUACUUUCGUGUUCACACGCUGAUGCACUUCUCUCUUACAGUUUUUUCUGAAUGCUUAAACCCUAACUGUGAUUCU